UCACAUUUCAAGUUGAGAACCUUUUCAUUAUUGUUUUAACUGUAAAUAUGGGCAUUUUCAACCAAAUACCUAGUUUUUUAUAGCCAUUCCCUGACCUACAAAUG